CAGUAGCCGCGGUAAUACGAACCGUGCGAACGUUAUUCGGAAUCACUGGGCUUAAAGCGCGUGUAGGCGGAUGGGAACGUCGGUCGUUGAAAUCCCCCGGCUUAACCGGGGAAGUGGCGCCGAUACGACCCGUCUGGAGGAACGUAGGGGGAGCUGGAACUUCCGGUGGAGCGGUGAAAUGCGUUGAGAUCGGAAGGAACGCCCGUGGCGAAAGCGAGCUCCUGGACGUUUUCUGACGCUGAGACGCGAAAGCCAGGGGAGCGAACGGGAUUAGAUACCCCCGUAGUCCCUGUCUCUUAUA
rnacentral:rRNA from 1 species